rnacentral:rRNA from 1 species
CCUACGGGUGGCAGCAGUGGGGAAUAUUGGGCAAUGGAGGAAACUCUGACCCAGCAACGCCGCGUGAAUGAUGAAGGUCUUCGGAUUAUAAAGUUCUUUUCUAAGGGAAGAAGAAAGUGACGGUACCUUAGGAAUAAGCCUCGGCUAACUACGUGCCAGCAGCCGCGGUAAUACGUAGGAGGCAAGCGUUAUCCGGAAUGACUGGGCGUAAAGGUUGCGUAGGUGGUUUGAUAAGUUGGUAGCGUAACUCCGAGGCUCAACCUCGGCACUACUACCAAAACUGUCGGACUUGAGUGCAGGAGGGGUAACUGGAAUUCCUAGUGUAGCGGUGGAAUGCGUAGAUAUUAGGAGGAACACCAGUGGCGAAGGCGAGUUGCUGGACUGUAACUGACACUGAGGCACGAAAGCGUGGGGAGCAAACAGGAUUAGAUACCCGAGUAGUC